GGUUGGCUCAGUGGUAGAGUGCUUGCCUUGCAUGCAUGAGGUCCUAGGUUCGAUUCCUCAGCACCA
rnacentral:tRNA from 1 species